CGCAGACGGACGGGCCUCAAUCGUUCGCCUUGCUGUCGGUCCCAUCACCCUGAAAUGGAAUCCAGCACUGCCAACUGCGGUAACCGUGGUUAAAGGAGACGACCCCGUGCAGCAGGAGGAGGUUAUUUAGAAUAAGGAAGAAUGCGCCUGGCUCGUUUAUUUAUGGGCAUAAAUUUUUCGUAGGGUUCGAGAGUAUGGCGGCUCCAGUCCCAGAUCUCACAGAAUUUCCUACACAAAGAAAUUUGCAAGGAAAAUGGACAUUGCACUCUAAAAAUUAACAAGGAAAGAAGGUACCAGGAGCAACAACUCAUUAACAGGAACAGAAACAAAAUUGCAAACAUUUCAGAUGCAAAGUGUAUCGGACUUAUAAUACAACUAUCCCUACUGUGUCUAAAGAAAUGAAAGGCAAUAAAGAAAAUAUCUUUG
rnacentral:lncRNA from 1 species